GUCCCUGUAGCGCAAUGGAGGGUGCGUUGGAUUUCUAAUCCAAAAGGUUGUGGGUUCAAAUCCCACCUGGGAUG